rnacentral:rRNA from 1 species
UACGUAGGAUGCGAGCGUUGUCCGGAUUUAUUGGGUUUAAAGGGUGCGUAGGUGGCUUAUUAAGUCGUGGGUGAAAGCUGACAGCUCAACUGUCAAACUGCCUGCGAUACUGGUGAGCUUGAGUAUGGUUGAGGUAUGUAGAAUUGGUGGUGUAGCGGUGAAAUGCAUAGAUACCAUCAGGAAUACCAAUUGCGAAGGCAGCAUACUAAGCCAUAACUGACACUGAGGCACGAAAGCGUGGGUAUCAAACAGG